UAGUAGUCUCGGUUUUGUUUUUUUGAUUCUUUUUAGCUCUAAAGAUUAAGGGCAGCGCCCCUGCUCUGUCUUGCUAAUUAGACUUAAGAGCCCCUCCUGCCUCAGUGCUUAGUCGGCGGAGACACCUGCUGAGGGGAGGCCCUCCUCCUCCCGCUAAAGUCAAACCACAGGGUCCUGUCUUUGGUUUCCCGGCUCGAUGUGGGCGUGUUUAUAUGUAUAUGUGUGUAAUAAUAUAUUCCCCCCCCCCGCCCCCCGCUCGGCCACAGCAGCAUCAGUUGGGGUUUCCGAAGGUCAGAAAAUGGCUAUUGAUUAAUCUAUCAGAAUAGUUGCAGAGAGAAAUAAAAAGGACGUAAAAUAACAGAGAACCUAUAAAUAAAGCCGCAACUAGCUGCUCGGAGUUGUUAAACGACUUAGCAUGUGAAAAAGUCGGAAAUGAGGCGCUGGGGAAGGAGCCGGCAUUGGCAGCGGCCUGGGAUAUAGACAAACACUCCAAGAUUUUAGUUCCUCAGAGAUCGGCAGCAGAGGAGGUGGAGGAGGAGGCGAGGAUAUGGCCAGUGCGCACCGAGUUUCUUUGGCAAGGAAAGUCAGUGAUGGCUCCGAACCGUUUACGAUACCUUCUAGACAGCUUCCCGCAAAACCGACUGCAGCGGCGAACUGGCUGUCCGCUGUCCCUCGGCAGCGGAAGUCCCAGGUGAAACUGUCUCAGUAACCCAAUAAUUACAAAAAGAACGUCCGAGGGGCACGGAAAAGAAACUGAAUCCACAGAUUCCCUUUGCUCAGCUUCGGUUGUCCAGCCCCAGAGGCAGGCGCGGGCCGGCAGGAGCCCCACCGCAGCCUAGGAGGCUGGGCCCGCGUGGACGCGUUGCACGUGUGUGUGUACGCACGGAAGGGUAGCGGCUCCAGGGGAUGCCCUCCGCAGUCUUCUUGAAGCAUCCUCCAAAUGAGCCUAAUUUCAAUUCCUCGGCCCGCCAGGGCUGGCUCUCAGCACUCCCUCGGCGCCGCUGUUUACUGCCUCUGAGCCUCCCUCGGCCAAGACCUGGCGCGAUCCGUCCAUUCCCCCGUGUCUCUUUGGGACCUCCCUGGGGAAAGAGGUGGGGGUGAACAACUCCCAGCCGCCAGUUCCAUUUGUUGCGCUUUUUUCUUUCGACACAAUAAAAGUCAAAUUAAUUGAUUCAUACCAUUAA